AGAGAAGGCUGUGUCCCUGCUGUUCUCCAUCUCGUUGCUCAAUAAGCCUCUCUGGAUUAAGCAGGCUGCUCCUCUUGGUCUGCCGACAACCCCAUGACCUGAGUAGUCACCAGGGCUUCGAGGAAAGAAGCUCCCAGACACCCAGGGACUGGCAGAAGCCCACCAGCCCCUCUGAAGACCCUUCCUGUUUUGCUCUGUUUCUCAGGAUCCUUUUACUACGUCUUCAAAUGUGUAGGAUUAUUUUGUGCAAGAAACUCAGCUCCAGUGAGAACACAAUCCUAACAUGAGCAAAGAAAUCUAAAAGAUAAGGCUGCUACAGAAAUUAAAGCGUGAUGAAAGGCUAUUUACAGGCUUUGGCCUUGAUGUUGCAAGACACACACUGCAUUUCAAGCACCUCCAUCAAGAAGAAAAUUGUCAAAAGCCUUAAAGCAAAGGCACUCCUCACAACUUCACACUUCCAAGUCUGGAAAUGCUGGACUCGUCGUUUCCGUGGGAUUUACGGUGCAACCGUAUGCAAGUCACCGGCGUUUGAAGGAGUGUCCCUUGUGCAGCGCUAAGGCAAGCGAAGGGUUCGUCUGUGUGCCCGUCAGUUGCACUCACCGAGCGCGACCUCACGGGCAAGGAGCAGGCGCUGGCACAUGCCGCACCCAUUCCGGGACGGGACAGGCCAGCGCUGCUCCAGGGCCUUUUCCAGCAAAAAGGACGAGAGAAUAAUCGGUAUUCCCCAAAA